GUUCCUAUAUAUAGAGGCAACGAAAUGAAUUCUCAUAAGAUACCUAAACAACAUUUGGAAAACACACACAAACAAAAAUGUUGUUUACCAUUGGAGAAAUGAUGACAGGAGCAGGCUCUGCAAUUGCAGGGCUAAUGGUGGCUUAUGCCAUGUUUCAAAAUUAUUUCCCCUAUGACCUCCGAAAACCUCUAAAGCGUUACAGCCACAAAAUCAUGAAUUUUUUCUAUCCUUAUAUCGUGAUCACGUUUCCAGAAUUCCAAGGUGAUGGAUUUGAACGUAGCAAAGCAUUUGCUGCAAUCGCGAGGUAUUUGAAUAAGAAUUCCUCGAAGCAGGCGAAGCAUCUACAGGCCAACGUUGUACAAGACAGCCAGGCUAUAGUUCUUAGCAUGGCGGAUAACGAAGAGGUAAUCGAUGAAUUCCAGGGGAUCAAGCUUUGGUGGGCUUCUGACCACGUCGUUCCCGACAGGCAAUCAAUUUCGUUCUAUCCUAGGGAAGAUGCCAACAGGUAUUUCACACUCACUCUCCACAAGAAGUACAGGGAUAUAAUCACCAAGUCUUAUCUGAAGCAUGUUUUGGACGAGGGAAAGGAGAUAACUAUUAAGGAAAGGCAAAGGAAAUUGUACACUAACAAUAAGAGUGACAAUUGGUAUGGAUACAAGAGAACAAAGUGGAGCCACGUGAUAUUUGAACAUCCAGCAAGUUUUGAUACUUUAGCCAUGGAUCCAAACAAGAAGGAAGAAAUUAUGAAGGAUUUGAUCAGGUUUACUGAGGCGAAAGACUAUUACGCCAAGAUAGGCAAGGCAUGGAAGCGGGGCUACCUCCUCUAUGGUCCACCUGGAACUGGAAAGUCAACCAUGAUCGCUGCCAUGGCUAAUCUUUUGAAAUAUGACAUUUAUGAUCUUGAAUUGACGGCCGUUAAGGACAACACGGAGCUGAGGAAAUUGUUGAUAGACACGUCGAGUAAAUCUAUUCUUGUAAUAGAAGACAUUGAUUGUUCACUAGAUCUUACGGGCCAAAGGGAGAAGAAGGAGAAGACAGACGACGAAAAGAAGGAAGAAAAGGAUAAGGACCCCGUUAAGGCGGAGAUGAAGAAAAGGGAUCAAAGUGACCAGAGUAGUCAGGUGACGUUAUCCGGGCUUCUUAAUUUCAUUGAUGGGCUAUGGUCAGCUUGUGGUGGGGAAAGAAUAAUUGUUUUUACGACGAACUAUGUGGACAAGCUGGAUCCUGCUUUGAUUCGGAGAGGAAGAAUGGAUAAGCAUAUAGAAUUAUCAUAUUGUAGCUUUGAAGCAUUCAAAGUUUUAGCAAAGAAUUAUUUGGACAUUAAAUCUCAUCAUCUUUUUGGCAGGAUUGAUAUCCUGUUACAGGAAACCAAAAUGACUCCUGCAGAUGUUGCAGAAAACCUGAUGCCCAAAUCAACUGAAGAAGAUGGGCAAGCUUGCUUGGUGAGAUUGAUCGAGGCUCUAGAAGAAGAAAAAGUGAAGGCCGAGGAAGAAGCAAAAACAAAGGCAGAGGAAGAAGCAAAGGCUAAGGCCGAGGAAGAAGCAAAAGCGAAAGCUGAGGAAGAAGAGAAGCUAAAGGCUGAGAAAGAGAAAGAAGAAAAUGGUAAAGAAGGUGUCGAAGUUAAUGAAGAAGUGAAAGAAAAUGGUAAAGAUGAUAAACAUUCGGCAACUAAUGGUGUGAAAGAAAAUGGAGAUAUCUCUCAUUGAUGAUAUGAUAUGAAAGUUGAGAGGGAUCGAAUGAUUUGCAGCAAUGAAUAGGGUCACAAUAGUUGGUUCAGUGCAGAUAUAUCAAAUAUAUGUUGAUGUUGUAGUAGUGUUUUAUUCGCCUUACAUAGAAAAAAUAACAAAAAAAAUGUUAGUUGUUUCAUUAGUAGCCAGUCGAUCUGGAAUAGGUUUCAUUGUAAUCCAAUUUUAUUGUAAAUAGUGUGAUUAACUAUGAAGUUAUGGUCAUUUGAAUAAAUUCUUCAGAAAAAUCAGAACGCAG
rnacentral:lncRNA from 1 species